GGAGGUAUACCUCAAAUGGUAGAGCACAUGCUUAGCCCACAUAAGGUACUGGGUUCAAUCCCCAGUACCUCCU
rnacentral:tRNA from 1 species